UCUAAUCCAUUUGGCGUAUAAGUUUAAAUAUAAUAAUUUCAUUAAACAAAAUAUAAUAAUUCAAAUCCAUGCAUUGAUAUUUAAUAGAAAUAUCGUAAAAACAGUCUUGUCAAAAUAGAAGUUCUUUAUACAGAUCAUUUCCAAAAUAUAUUUAUACACCACAUACAAGAGCCAUGCAUGAUAUAGAACAAAAUAGUUAGCUCACAAUAGUAGCAGCAUUCUUGCGUAAUCCUUUUAACAAACCGUCUUUCUUCUGUUAGCAAGCCUGAGAAGGAAAAGAUAACAGAGUAAGUUCAUACGAACUUAGUGAGUUCCAAAAAGAAAUCGUACAUAUCAUUACUUACAACACAACCGAACCUUUCAGAGGGACUUUCAUACAGUAAUCAUAGUACGUCUAAUGGUGUGCACAGAACAUAGACAGACUUAGUACACCAACUUACUUAACACAUAAGCGUAUACUGUACACCAACUAAACACAACUCAGAUAACCCAUCUUCACGCCAGCUACGUACCCAGAAUUCAGAAUUAGAAGCAUAUCAUACAGUUUCAUUCACAUACAUACAGAUAACUCAUCAUAUCAUUUUCAUUCAGAAUAGCAUGUUUUAUCAUGAUCUGUCAAUUGGGUUUGCAAUAUGAUUGUCCUACCGGAAGCUACUCAAACAUAUCUCCUCUUCUCCAUCACCAUAGAUCAGAUCAUAUUUCACAUAUUAAAAGCAGAUGGUAGUGACUUAGGCAUGAAGAAUGACACUUACUUCAUACCACUGACAAACUGUGCUCAGACUGAUGACACUGAAUAACCAUUAUCCACACAUACACCAUUCAUACAUUACUGAGGAAGAGUACUACCUUAUACAAUUUAUAUAACAAUGGAAAUUUACAACACAUGGAAGUAAGAAGGAACUCACUAGAAAUUUUAGCACAACCUACAAAGUAGGUCAUUUUCCUUUAUCGAUUGGACCCUCAUUAGCUUCUUGAUCUAAAAGAAAUAUAAUUAUAUAUAUUAGAUCAUCGAUCUAUCAAAUCUUAACAUGCAUGCAAGAAUCGAUAACACUUAGUCCAAAAUCAAGAAGUUUUCUUCUUCACACAUCAUUCUAACAUCUAUGCAUGCAAUACGAAAAACACAUAAAUGACUUCAGUGAUAACCUAAGGGUUUAUUAGUAAUUACCAGUGAGCUGGUACUAACAUAGAAGUUAGCUAGACACUGCAAACCUUCACUUCGAGGAAAAUUUUCUAAACUUAGUGUAGAUACCCAAAUUUACCCGGGCCUAGAAUUGUUAAUCAGCCCAGACCAAAAAAAUAAACUAAAACCCAAACCCGGAUAGCCCAAUAGGCCCAACCUAAACCCAAAUCUCAGCCAAGUCUAACCCUAAUUUCCCCUGGUGCACCGUACUCGUCCUCUGCCACACACAUGCUUCGUCAGCAAGACCAGCGCCCGAGGUUCGGCCCUUCUUGACUCCAUUUCACCGAAACGGCAAAGGGUUGGCCUCUUUUCUUCAUUGACCCUCCAAAAACACCUGCAAGAAGAAAAAGAAGGACAACAGAAACGAAAGCAGCAGCAAAAGCACAACAAAAUGUAACAAACAGUAAACCAAUGUCUUGGUAUUCGGCUAUAAGAGAGCCUGGAACAUGAAUUUUUUUUUACACACAGCAUAAUUGAGCAAUAAAAAAAACCAAAAGGUUGACUGUUCAUCUUCUUUCUUUAUUUUUUGGUUUCAUUUCGUUUAUUACUAUUAUUUUUCUUUUGUUUCUAUUACGAAUCUAUUUUAAAAAAUAAAAUAAAAGAAGGAAUCUCACCGAAAUCCCGUGUCACCUCGACGGAUCUAUUCUCCGUCGUCAGAAUCUGACUUAAAGGGAAAAGAGAGGGACCUUUUCUUUCGCAUUUUCUGAGUUUAGGAGGUGCUUUGCUUUCGGGCUCUCUUGAAAGGGCUGAAAAUCUGGUCUUCGCGUGGCUCCGGCCACCGCCCUCGAUGGCUUUGUACGAUGAUGGCGAUGAUGGGUUUCUUUUGAAACCCUAGUAGAGCACAAACGAAAAUGGGGAAGAAGGGGCUGCUCUCCUUCUGUUUGUUUUGCAGAAAAAAAGGAAAGAAAUAAAACAGUAAAAAAAAAGAUUUAAACAGCAGUACAAACAGACGCGUUCUCCUAUUAAUAUAC
rnacentral:lncRNA from 1 species